UACGAAGGGGGCUAGCGUUGCUCGGAAUCACUGGGCGUAAAGGGUGCGUAGGCGGGUCUUUAAGUCAGGGGUGAAAUCCUGGAGCUCAACUCCAGAACUGCCUUUGAUACUGAAGAUCUUGAGUUCGGGAGAGGUGAGUGGAACUGCGAGUGUAGAGGUGAAAUUCGUAGAUAUUCGCAAGAACACCAGUGGCGAAGGCGGCUCACUGGCCCGAUACUGACGCUGAUGCGCGAAAGCUAGGGGAGCGAAAGGG
rnacentral:rRNA from 1 species